rnacentral:misc_RNA from 1 species
GAAAUCUCUAAUUUGGAGAAGGUAAAGUAAAUUGAGGCUUUUUAAAAUAAAAUUUUCCUAGUUUUUAAAUCUUCAUAAUAUCUUUUAGUGUUUGAAAGAAAAGAAAACUUUUUUAAAAUAUUUGGUAGUUUUAAAGAGGAAAUUUUCUUAACUUACAAAUUUGGUAGGUUAGAGAAUGAAUCCUAUUUUAUAAAAGCACAUACUCUCCUAUGAACUUGUUUUUUAACCUUUAAAAACCUUCCAUUAUUUUAUAAAGAUUUUCUCCCAAACAAAAUGAAUAUUCUAGACGUUUCCCUCCCUAAUCCUUGCCUUCUGCUUAAUUGCGCUCAUUAAAUUUCCCCGUAAAUCAAUUACCCAUCCUUAAAAUUAAUUGAAGCUAUGUUUAGUAUGAUGU